rnacentral:rRNA from 1 species
AGAGUUUGAUCCUGGCUCAGGACGAACGCUGGCGGCGCGCCUAACACAUGCAAGUCGAACGAGCGAGAGAGAGCUUGCUUUCUCAAGCGAGUGGCGAACGGGUGAGUAACGCGUGAGGAACCUGCCUCAAAGAGGGGGACAACAGUUGGAAACGACUGCUAAUACCGCAUAAGCCCACAGCUCGGCAUCGAGCAGAGGGAAAAGGAGCAAUCCGCUUUGAGAUGGCCUCGCGUCCGAUUAGCUAGUUGGUGAGGUAACGGCCCACCAAGGCGACGAUCGGUAGCCGGACUGAGAGGUUGAACGGCCACAUUGGGACUGAGACACGGCCCAGACUCCUACGGGAGGCAGCAGUGGGGAAUAUUGCACAAUGGGGGAAACCCUGAUGCAGCGACGCCGCGUGGAGGAAGAAGGUCUUCGGAUUGUAAACUCCUGUUGUUGAGGAAGAUAAUGACGGUACUCAACAAGGAAGUGACGGCUAACUACGUGCCAGCAGCCGCGGUAAAACGUAGGUCACAAGCGUUGUCCGGAAUUACUGGGUGUAAAGGGAGCGCAGGCGGGAAGACAAGUUGGAAGUGAAAUCUAUGGGCUCAACCCAUAAACUGCUUUCAAAACUGUNUUUCUUGAGUAGUGCAGAGUAGGCGGAAUUCCCGGUGUAGCGGUGGAAUGCGUAGAUAUCGGGAGGAACACCAGUGGCGAAGGCGGCNUACUGGGCACCAACUGACGCUGAGGCUCGAAAGUGUGGGUAGCAAACAGGAUUAGAUACCCUGGUAGUCCACACCGUAAACGAUGAUUACUAGGUGUUGGAGGAUUGACCCCUUCAGUGCCGCAGUUAACACAAUAAGUAAUCCACCUGGGGAGUACGACCGCAAGGUUGAAACUCAAAGGAAUUGACGGGGGCCCGCACAAGCAGUGGAGUAUGUGGUUUAAUUCGACGCAACGCGAAGAACCUUACCAAGUCUUGACAUCCCUUGACGAACAUAGAAAUAUGUUUUCUCUUCGGAGCAAGGAGACAGGUGGUGCAUGGUUGUCGUCAGCUCGUGUCGUGAGAUGUUGGGUUAAGUCCCGCAACGAGCGCAACCCUUACUGUCAGUUACUACGCAAGAGGACUCUGGCAGGACUGCCGUUGACAAAACGGAGGAAGGUGGGGAUGACGUCAAAUCAUCAUGCCCUUUAUGACUUGGGCUACACACGUACUACAAUGGCGUUAAACAAAGAGAAGCAAGACCGCGAGGUGGAGCAAAACUCAGAAACAACGUCCCAGUUCGGACUGCAGGCUGCAACUCGCCUGCACGAAGUCGGAAUUGCUAGUAAUCGUGGAUCAGCAUGCCACGGUGAAUACGUUCCCGGGCCUUGUACACACCGCCCGUCAA